rnacentral:rRNA from 1 species
UACGUAGGUGGCAAGCGUUGUCCGGAUUUACUGGGCGUAAAGAGCGCGCAGGCGGUCGUUCAAGUCGCGUGUGAAAGCCCCCGGCUCAACUGGGGAGGGUCACGCGAUACUGAUCGACUCGAAGGCAGGAGAGGGUAGUGGAAUUCCCGGUGUAGUGGUGAAAUGCGUAGAUAUAUGGAAGAACACCAAUAACGGCGAAGGCAGUUAACUAUUCUGUUACUGACAUUGAGGCACGAAAGCGUGGGGAGCAAAACGG